GCAUCGGAACGUGUCCCGUAGUGGGGGAUAACCCGGCGAAAGCCGGACUAAUACCGCAUAUGCUCUACGGAGGAAAGUGGGGGACCUGCAAGGGCCUCACGCUAUGGGAGCGGCCGAUGUCCGAUUAGCUUGUUGGUGAGGUAAUGGCUCACCAAGGCGACGAUCUGUAGCUGGUCUGAGAGGACGACCAGCCACACUGGGACUGAGACACGGCCCAG
rnacentral:rRNA from 1 species